GAUGAACGCUAGCGGCAGGCCUAACACAUGCAAGUCGAGGGGUAGAAGGAGCUUGCUCCUUUGAGACCGGCGCACGGGUGCGUAACGCGUAUGCAAUCUACCUUGUACAGGGGAAUAGCCCAGAGAAAUUUGGAUUAAUGCCCCAUAGUAUAUAACCUUCGCAUGUUGGUUAUAUUAAAGUUCCAACGGUACAAGAUGAGCAUGCGUCCCAUUAGUUAGUUGGUAAGGUAACGGCUUACCAAGACGAUGAUGGGUAGGGGUCCUGAGAGGGAGCUCCCCCACACUGGUACUGAGACACGGACCAGACUCAUACGGGAGGCAGCAGUGAGGAAUAUUGGUCAAUGGUCGCAAGACUGAACCAGCCAUGCCGCGUGCAGGAAGACGGUCCUAUGGAUUGUAAACUGCUUUUAUAAAGGAAGAAACCCUCCCACGUGUGGGAGCUUGACGGUACUGGAGGAAUAAGGAUCGGCUAACUCCGUG
rnacentral:rRNA from 1 species